GGCGGCGUAGCCAAGCGGCUAAGGCGAGGGACUGCAAAUCCCUUAUUCCCCGGUUCAAAUCCGGGCGCCGCCUCCA
rnacentral:tRNA from 1 species